rnacentral:rRNA from 1 species
UGGGGAAUUUUGCGCAAUGGGCGAAAGCCUGACGCAGCAACGCCGCGUGAGUGAUGAAGGCUUUCGGGUCGUAAAGCUCUGUCAAGGGGAAAGAAGUGUAUUGUGGUUAAUACCCAUGAUGCUUGACGGUACCCCUAAAGGAAGCACCGGCUAACUCCGUGCCAGCAGCCGCGGUAAUCCGGGGGGUGCAAGCGUUGUUCGGAAUUAUUGGGCGUAAAGCGCGUGUAGGCGGUUUGUUAAUUCUGAUGUGAAAGCCCGGGCUCAACCUGGGAAGUGCAUUGGAAACUGGCAGACUUGAGUACGGGAGAGGGUAGUGGAAGUCCUGGUGUAGGAGUGAAAUCCGUAGAUAUCAGGAGGAACACCGGUGGCGAAGGCGGCUGCCUGGACCGAUAUUGACGCUGAGACGCGAAAGCGUGGGUAGCAAACA